AUGCGAAAGGCGCAGUCAGCAGUGUCGAGCGCCGCCGAUGAUGAUGAAGUGGUGCGGCUCCGCGCGCUCUGGAGAAGAUACGAGCAUCACUGCACGCGGACUAACAGCUGUCCCAGUGCAGUGCUCAGACAGGACAUCCUUCACCAAAUCGACAGACAGGAGCCACUCAAAAAGUGUCUUCUUUUAGAGAAGAGGGGGAGGACAGUUUAUCCCUUGAAAUCACUGGAGCUACUUGAUUGCAAAAUAAUUGAAGGGUCUCUGGAAAGACUGGGCAAUGCUGCAGGCAUCAGCUACCUCACCACUCUCUGCCUGGACUACACACGUGUGGAACCGGAAGGGUUGAAAGGUUUGCUGAGUGGAGGUCUGGGGGCCAGUCGAAUAUCCUCCCUGAGUUUGUGUUAUUGUGGUUUGGGUUCAUGGAGCGGAACUCUGCUAGCUUCACUCCUCACCAACAGUUCCGUGAGGGAGCUCUACCUCAAUGGCAAUGAGCUGCAGUGUGUGGGUGCCACCGAUCUGCUGAAACCUGUGGCUGAAAACAGCCAAAAACUGGCAGAGAUCCAAAACAGGACCACAUCCAUCACAGAUGAAACAGAGUUGAUCUCCCAAAGGAGCAAUACCAAAUCUUCCAGACAAAAGAAAGCAAAGAGCAAAGGGAAGAAGACAAAGAAGAAAAGAGAAAAAAACAAGAGCGAUCAUGGUGCCGCAGGAGGCCCGUGGCUAGAGAAACUGCACAUGUGUGAUAAUUCCAUUGAUGGCUCAGGAAAGGAGGAACUAAAUCAAUUCCUGGAGAUCCUUUGCAUUAUAGUUAAGUUCUCCAGUUGCCUGACCGAACUGGAUCUCAGUGAGAAUCACAUUGGAGAAGAUGGCGCAAAAGUGUUUUUAGAGGCCCUGAGAGAGAGACAAGCAACUAAACUAUCUCCAAUAAAAAUCCAGGUUUCAACACGCAUCUCCACAGAAACAUUCAGGGCCAUUUUGAAAAGUGCAAAGGAGCUUAAAUCUGGGAAAAAGAGAAGAAAGACUAAGGGAAAAAAGUAGUAGUCUGUCUGGAGGACAUUGAAGAAUAUCGCUGAAUGACACAAGAAUGUUUUUCUACACUGUUUCUCCAUGUUUUCAAUUUGUCACAACAGUUUUUUAGAAUCAUCUUUUUAUGUGGUCUUAAUUGAAUUUGCCAACAUCCUUGCAUUAAAUGUGACCGCACAGCAGACUCCCAGAUUAUGAACCACUUAUUGCGGUGCACCAGAAGGGGUUCGGGAACGGAUCUCAUUUUAUGUUGCUCCAUUGGGAGCUUGAAAUAGCAGAAGGAUGUUUGUUCUUAAGUGCUUCUUUGUUUUUCUUGUCCCUUCAAGUACAUACUUGCUAACAGAAUGUUAUAACAGUGUAAUACAUGCAAUGUUUAUAUUUUAUAAUAAUGUGAACGACAGAGUUAGCGGUUAUUCGUGUUUUUACUACCUGUUAUGGAGAGCAGACGAGAUAUGUUUUCUGGUAAAUGUGGUUUUGUCUCCACCCUGUGGCCAAAAAAUGAUAUUGCACUAUGUCGUGUUAAUUUGAAUGGAUUUACAAUCCACAAGCUGGUCGCCUGUUUUACGGUUUACUUCUGCCUUUGUAGUGGAACAUCACAAAAUAAUGUACAUCCAAACAUGAAUUUUGACUGCAGAGUUUUUCUUGUCUAGAUUGCAUAAUAAGGAAUGUCUGAUUGUCUGGCUUCAAAUGGUGCAAAAUAAUGGUGCAAAAUUAAAUACCAAACAAUAAAAUUAACAAGGGAAAUGAAUCA
ensembl:lncRNA